rnacentral:rRNA from 1 species
UACGUAGGGGGCAAGCGUUGUCCGGAUUUAUUGGGCGUAAAGAGCUCGUAGGUGGUUCGGUAAGUCGGGUGUUAAACCCCCAGGCUCAACCUGGGGACGCCACUCGAUACUGCUGUGACUUGAGUCCGGUAGGGGAGCGUGGAAUUCCUGGUGUAGCGGUGAAAUGCGCAGAUAUCAGGAGGAACACCAGCGGCGAAGGCGGCGCUCUGGGCCGGUACUGACACUGAGAAGCGAAAGCGUGGGUAGCAAACAGG